CGGGGAGUAGCAUAGUCCGGUUAAUGCGUCGGGCUGGGGGUCCGAAGAUCGGAGGUUCGAAUCCUCUCUCCCCGACCA
rnacentral:tRNA from 1 species